GGGCGAGGCCGGGGUCGGGGGUGCCUGGGGGAUCCGGAAAGAGGCUGUAGGGCGGUCUCGGAAGGAACCUUGUGAGCGAGUGCUCGCGGGCACCGCCUAUGUGUCCGGCACCUUUCCGGAUAAAAGUUCAAAGCUCUACACAAGGGUGUGUCUUCUCAAGGCUCACCUUUUGGUGGGGAGGGAAAAGCAAGUAAACAGAACUUGAGCAGCUGUGGCGCAGGAGGGUGGUCGGCAAAGACCCCUGGGAAAUGGGGAAGAGGCGCAGGCCUGGGGCCCGGCGCAGCCCGCGGCGCUCGCUCCGAGAGGGUCAGGGCACGGUCGGUUGAGAGGCCGGCGACGCGGGACGUGGGGGCUCGGGUGAGGUCUGUGAGUUGGGAGGGCCCCCGUCAUGGAGGUUUACUUCCGUUCUAACGCAGUGGGAAGUUGCUGCAAGAUGUAAAUCUGAAGAGUGGCAUAAUCGUAGACGUGUGUUCUGCGGAUCUCUCUGCUCCUGUGCAACGAGUAGGGCACAUGGGGUGGAGGGAUGUGGAGGGAUUUCAGAAGCAGACGCUGGAAGAGCCUUGGACAGGAUAUGGGCGUGAGGGAGGGUGGCGGUAUGGGGGAGAGGGAGAGCCCAAUCCCACCCCCUCUCUUCUCCCGGAUGCUUCCCUCCCACUAUACCUUGCUGGAGACCUGGGGUCACACACAACACUCGACCCCCGCCGAUGGAGGCCUGACAACCGAGAGGAGUUGCGUAGGGGCUGAGGUUCCUGGCAGAGAGCGCCUAAAGCCCUUGGAAUUUCCUCAGUGAUAAGGGUGACAGCGGCAUAUUUUGUUCUGAGGUGACUCUUGGCAAGCCCCUAGAUAGCUUUAGGAUAGGGGCUGGUCACCAGAAAGAUCAAGCCUUGAUUAGAAGCUUGGAAGUUCUGACCCACCCUUCAACCUCUGGGAAGGGGAAAGGGGCUGGAGAUCGAGUUAAUCGCCAAUGGACACAAUUAUGCCUGUAUAAUGAAACCUCAAUAAAAACUCCAAAAUGA